UUUUAAUAAAAAAACAACAACCAAAAAACAAUCUAUAAACCAGGUCAUUAAAUGUUACAGGAUCACAUUAACAUUUAAAAGCACACUUGCACAUGUAGCAUACCCGAUCUACUCCAAAACACGUGAACUGAAAGAUAUAUUUAGAAUUCAUGUUACUGAGCAAUCACAUUUGAUCAUCAUUUGUGGGUUUUAUGGAGACAAAUGAUUCUUUGAGAGGUAUUUAACCUGCUCUUUGACCCACCCUCAUGGUCCCCCCUCUGUUUCACCGCCCACUCAACCUCCAAUGUCUUUGGAGUGACCACAAAUACUAAAAAGCUUAAACAGCUUUUGGCAGUCGCUGGGUCUAGGCAGUAGAGGAGCAUCAAGCACAGACUUGAACGCUGCUGGAAGGAUCUAUUACAUUGAAAAAAUUGGGAGAAGGCACAGUGUGACCAGACUGCUGCCUCAAAGGGAACAGAGCUGAAAGCACUGAGGACUGUGAGCAGAGCCUUCUGAAUCAGCUGAGCUCAAGAGGAUAUCAAGAUGUGGAAGAGGUCAAAGGUGACCGAUCAAUCUGCCUCUGGGCAGACGGCACUGAACAGGAAUCAUCCUGAGAUGUCAACCUCCAG